rnacentral:rRNA from 1 species
GACGAACGCUGGCGGCGUGCUUAACACAUGCAAGUCGAACGGAAAGGCCCUGCUUUUGUGGGUUGCUCGUGUGGCGAACGGGUGAGUAACACGUGAGUAUCCUGCCCUUGACUUUGGGAUAACUUCAGGAAACUGGGGCUCAUACCGCAUAGGAGCUCCUGCUGCAUGGUGGGGGAUGGAAAGUUUCGGCGGUUGGGGAUGGACUCGCGGCUUAUCAGCUUGUUUGUGGGGUAGUGGCUUACCAAGGCUUUGACGGGUAGCCGGCCUGAGAGGGUGACCGGCGACAUUGGGACUGAGAUACGGCCCAGACUCCUACGGGAGGCAGCAGUGGGGAAUAUUGCACAAUGGGCGGAAGCCUGAUGCAGCAACGCCGCGUGCGGGAUGACGGCCUUCGGGUUGUAAACCGCUUUCGCCUGUGACGAAGCGUGAGUGACGGUAAUGGGUAAAGAAGCACCGGCUAACUACGUG